CUUGUUCUCCCACAUUUUUCGGAGGGCUGGAUGAUUACUUUAUUAAGAGAUGCAGGCAGCUGUGUUUGGCUUUCUCCUGGUAAUCUAGUCUCUCUUUCAUUUCAUCAGCACAGGUUUCUCAUUGUGAAGGGGCUCUUUCAUUGGGAUGUUGCAGGACGGGACUGUUUAUUGCUACACAUUAUGUAGCUGCCAUGGAUUUCAGACAGCAAAAGAGACUUCAGCACUACUGGACAUCCCCAUCACCACAGACGGCCUCUGAGACACUGUCUGAACCUCAACUGAACCUGUGAGAGGCCAAUCCAAGGUGUGAGAACACUGCUUCACCGUGGACUUUCCUUUGUCAUGGUUCCUGCCUUUCCUGGAUAGCCCUGCGAGUCCCAGGAUGAAGGGAGAAAGUGAGGUCAUGAGCCUGGCCAUCUUUCGCUGACACCCACCUCUGGGAUCUCAGGUAUGAUUCUAGCACCUAAAGAACACUUAACGACACACAAGACUAUGUCCCAAUCCCCAUGGGAUUCGAUUCUUGCACACAGCCUCUUUUGGGCAUGGAGUCAGA
rnacentral:lncRNA from 1 species